rnacentral:lncRNA from 1 species
GUUUACUACAACUGGAACGUAGCAGUUUAUGUUUAAACAAAGUUUGUAAUUAAGUAAGUUGUAUUUGUAUUUUGUAUUAAUAAUAUUUGUAUUAUACAAUUGAUACUGUAUAAGUCCGUGUUGACGGCAAACUAUUCUCUCUUUCUCCGUUUACCAUUCUGAGUUAACUCUGGGAUUCCAGGUUAACAGUGCAGGAACCCUGACCAAUAAGUAUGCUCUGUGCUUGCAGUUCAAACUGAUCUGGCACAUCAGAAACCAUGAAC